UACGGAAGGUGCGAGCGUUAAUCGGAAUUACUGGGCGUAAAGCGCGCGUAGGCGGCUUGGUAAGUCGGGUGUGAAAGCCCCGGGCUCAACCUGGGAAUGGCACUCGAUACUGCCGAGCUCGAGUACGAGAGAGGGGGGUGGAAUUCCAGGUGUAGCGGUGAAAUGCGUAGAGAUCUGGAGGAACACCGGUGGCGAAGGCGGCCCCCUGGUUCGAUACUGACGCUCAUGUGCGAAAGCGUGGGGAGCAAACAGG
rnacentral:rRNA from 1 species